rnacentral:snRNA from 1 species
AUAGCGUACACGCGCAUGGCCGACGCGGGUCAAAGUGUAGUAUUUGUUCUUAUCAGCUUAAUAUUUGAUACGGGUUGUAUUUGGACCCAAGAUAUUAAACUUAUUUUUGCAAGUUGGCGGAGUGCUUGAAGCCUACUUCGCCUCCACCGCUGGUCGGCCCGGUAUUGCACUAUCUUAGGAAUUUGUGGUCUACGGACA